ACCGGGAGUUAAUUCGGAGUAAUUUGAAUUUUAUUUAAAUUCGAAUUGAUUUCGUGAAUCGGAGUUCAAGUUUUUGAAAAAAUAACUCCAUACUGAGUUUGUUUUUCUAAAUCCCGGAGUUAAUUUAUUCCGGGAGAAUUCAGAAAAAAAAUCAUGCGCUCUGCGAUCGCUUGGAAUUUAAUCCGCGUUCGCACCGCAAAUUUUUUACAGUAUGCGGAUUAAUUAUAAAGGAUAAAAACAUUUUUUAAAAACCAGUGACUUAGCUGUUUAAAAUUAAUUAAACAUAAUAAUUAAUAACUAAUUGAAAAAUUUAGUAAAGAGUUAAUAUAAAAAAUGAUCGGCUGUUUUUUUCGAUCUCUUGUAUAUCGACAGGUUAAUGGGGAAUCCCCAGCCGUUAUUUCCUGACAGCGGACGUUCUCUUCGGUCAUGCGCGCGUCGAGAAACCGGCGCGCGUUCGUCUGGAACGCGGAAACCGGCGAAACCGGCCACCCGAGAACCAACAGCUUCCAAGCUUCCAUUCUCGGUUGUAUAUCCGUUUAUGUUUAGAUAAGAUACAUUACUGUCCUACCAUGAUUGUUCAAGAUUCAUUACUCACAUAUAUUACGUGCAAUAUCGCUUAUUACUUAACUGUAUUAAUUAUAUACAUUUGGAACAGUUAAAUUUUUUUAUCGCCGUCUUGAGGCCUACAGCAGUUUUAUUUAUUUAUCAUUUGCGUAUGAAAAAUUACGACAUUUCGUUUUAAUUCCAAGUAACGAUGUCGCGACUUUAUUCGCGGAACCUAUUCUUCAAUAAAAAUUUACCGUUGAUUUAUCGCUAUUGUUGAUUUAAUAAGUAAUUUGUUUUAAAUUAUUACACUUGAGAACACUGAGUAUCAAUAUGUGACAUCAUCACACAGUCAUCUCUCACGCAGUCAUCACGUGUGUCGGAUGAUUAAGAAAAAAAGUGCAGGCUUCAACACACUCUGAGAAGACAUUACAGUAUCCAAUUAUAUGCCGAGUAACAACCGUCAGUUCAGCUUUUUUGACCGCCUACACGUUUAAGCUACAGGUAAAAAUAGUAUUUUUAUUUUUUUAUUGAUAGAGAAUAUUAUUUAAAAAUUUUUCUGGUUGUACUUUUGUUCUUAUUAACAUAAAGGAUUUUUUAAAGCAAAACCCAUACUCAUAUUCUGUAGAACCGGUAAGUAAAACUUGGAAUGUCUUACCAAGUCCAAGACCGAUACUUGUUUCGUAAACAUAACGGAGUGAGUUUAGGAAUUGAUUAUCACAAGAAAAGUGGCACGCUUCUGUCAAUGUACAAAACAACUUAUCUAUUAUAUACAUAUAUACAUAUAUAUAAUAUUUCUUUAUCUAAUAAAUUAUACAUUUAAAUUCCUAUAAUUUAUUAACUAAAGUCUGUAAUAAAAUAAUAAAAUUUUCAAGUCAUGUUUCGUUAAUAAAAAAAAAAUUUAAUGCAUUUUCCUGAUGUUACUUUGAGGAAAAAUUGCAACUAGAAAAAUAACGCUAUCAGUAUCAGCAGACGUCUUGAAGAACGAGGUCAAGGUCCUUGGUAGUAGAGUUCGUUUCCACUACUGGUGCAGUUACUGGCUCAGCGAAAAUAUCUUUUGAAUAAUUGCAGUGUUGAUUAAAGAGGAUGCAGAUGAUUCAAUCCAGUGGAAGAAGAAGAAGAAAAAAAAUAAAGUAAAUGAAAGGUGAAACGAUAAAAAUUAGUGAGUCAUUAAAUUCCAGCAUUCCAAUACUUCCUGUAGUAACUGAAAAGAUCCACAUUCUUGAUCCAGCUAUCGAAUUUAUACUGACUGGUGUAUCAGUAAAUAAAUACUAGGGGUGUGCGAAUUGAAUAAUUCGAAUGAUUCGUAACUUUUCGAAUUAUCUGAAAGUUUUUGAAUUAUUUGUAACUUCAAAUUACGCGAUUCAAAUGAAGAAAAUUCUGAUCAGCUUUCAAAAAUUCAAUUUUGGUUUGAUGGAGGGCUUAGUUUUUAAAGUAACCAAUAAUAAUUUUUUUGUAGAUUCGUGUCUGAGCUCUAAUUACAGCUGACAUAAAUUUGAAUUAUUGGAAAAACGAUUAAAAUUUUAAGACGUUCAAAACAAAAUUUUGUAAUUAUUCGUCCACUUUAGAAUCAUCCGAAAGUUUUUGAAUUAUUUGUAACUUCAAAUUACUCGAUUCAAAUAGAGAAAAUUCUUAUCAGCUUUCAAAUAUUCACUUUUGGUUUAAUGGAGCGCUUAGUUUUCGAAGUCAUCAGUAAUUAUUUUUUUGUAUAUUCGUGUCCGAGCUCUAAUUACCCCUGACAUAAAUUUGAAUUCUUGGAAAAACGAUUAAAAUUCUAAGACGUUCAAAAUAAAAUUUUGUAAUUAUUCGUAACUUUUCGAAUUAUUCGUCAACUUAAAAAUCUGCGAAAAUUUUUGAAUUAUUUGUAGCAUUUCAAAUUACUCGAUUCAAAUCUAUAAAUUCUAGUCAGCUUUCAAAAAUUCGAUUUUGGUUUAAUAGAGCGCUUAGUUUCUUAAGAAACCAAAAAUAAUUUUUUUUUUAGCUCUUAUUACCUCAGACGGAAAUUUGAAUUAUUGGAAAAAUUAUGAAAAGUUUGAGUCGUUCAAAAGAAAAUUUUUGAAUUAGUCGUAAAUUUUCGAAUAAUUCGGAAAGUUUUGAUUUAUUCAAAAUAUUACGAGUAAUUCGAAUCUCUACUAAAUUCACACCUCUAAUAAAUAUCUACUAAAUCUGACAAUUUGUUUGGAUUUAUGAAAAAAAAUUUAGAAAUUUAUCAAACAACGGACACACCACU